rnacentral:rRNA from 1 species
AGCGAACGCUGGCGGCAGGCUUAACACAUGCAAGUCGAACGGGCGUAGCAAUACGUCAGUGGCAGACGGGUGAGUAACACGUGGGAACGUACCUUUUGGUUCGGAACAACUGAGGGAAACUUCAGCUAUUACCGGAUAAGCCCUUACGGGGAAAGAUUUAUCGCCGAAAGAUCGGCCCGCGUCUGAUUAGCUAGUUGGUGGGGUAAGAGCCCACCAAGGCGACGAUCAGUAGCUGGUCUGAGAGGAUGAUCAGCCACAUUGGGACUGAGACACGGCCCAAACUCCUACGGGAGGCAGCAGUGGGGAAUAUUGGACAAUGGGCGAAAGCCUGAUCCAGCCAUGCCGCGUGAGUGAUGAAGGCCCUAGGGUUGUAAAGCUCUUUUAACGGGGAAGAUAAUGACGGUACCCGUAGAAUAAGCCCCGGCUAACUUCGUGCCAGCCGCCGCGGUAAGAC